GUAAGUGAAGCUCGCUCUUUUUCAAUCCGACGAGGACCGAAAGGAAGAAGCGAAGGCCAAAACCUAGCCAUAGCCAUGGCUUCUCGCAAGGUCUUAUCAUCUCUGUUCCGAUCGUCAGUAAGAAGAUCUGCAUCGAAACCAUCAUCAUCGAUCGUUAGCCCUAGAGCUCCUUCACCUUCCCCUGCAUCUCGCGCUUCUCCCAAGGGUUAUCUCUUGAAUCGCGCUUUAGAUUAUGCCACUUCUGCUGCAGCUCCUGCACCUUCAUCAUCGCCUUCGACGAAGGGUGCUAGCCCCAGUGGCAAGAUCACUGAUGAGUUCACCGGUGCCGGCUCGGUCGGCAGCGUCUGUCAGGUCAUCGGUGCCGUCGUCGAUGUUAGAUUCGAUGAUGGGUUGCCACCGAUCUUGACUGCUCUUGAGGUCUUGGACAAUUCGAUCCGUUUGGUUCUUGAAGUUGCUCAGCAUUUGGGUGAGAACAUGGUGAGGACCAUUGCCAUGGAUGGGACUGAGGGGCUUGUUCGUGGACAGAGGGUGCUCAACACUGGUUCUCCUAUUACUGUGCCUGUGGGUAGAGCUACUCUUGGCCGUAUCAUGAAUGUGAUUGGAGAGCCUAUUGAUGAGAGGGGUGGAAUAACAACCGAUCACUUCCUACCCAUCCAUCGUGAAGCCCCAGCAUUUGUUGAACAAGCAACUGAGCAACAGAUCCUAGUCACUGGAAUUAAGGUUGUGGAUCUUCUUGCACCAUACCAGAGAGGAGGAAAGAUUGGUUUGUUUGGUGGUGCUGGUGUAGGGAAGACUGUGCUCAUCAUGGAACUGAUUAACAAUGUUGCCAAAGCUCAUGGUGGUUUCUCUGUCUUUGCUGGUGUUGGGGAGCGCACCCGUGAGGGUAAUGAUCUCUACAGGGAAAUGAUUGAGAGUGGUGUCAUCAAGCUAGGGGAGAAGCAGAGUGAAAGCAAGUGUGCUCUUGUGUAUGGUCAAAUGAAUGAGCCUCCUGGUGCUCGUGCUCGGGUAGGACUUACUGGGCUCACGGUUGCUGAGCACUUCCGAGAUGCUGAGGGACAAGAUGUGCUUCUCUUCAUUGACAACAUUUUCCGUUUCACACAAGCAAACUCAGAAGUGUCUGCCUUGCUUGGUCGUAUCCCAUCAGCGGUCGGAUACCAACCAACUUUGGCAACAGAUCUUGGAGGCCUUCAAGAGCGUAUUACUACAACUAAGAAAGGUUCAAUUACAUCAGUCCAAGCUAUUUAUGUGCCUGCUGAUGAUUUGACAGAUCCAGCUCCUGCAACCACUUUUGCCCAUUUGGAUGCCACAACUGUGUUGUCCCGACAGAUCUCUGAGCUUGGAAUUUAUCCUGCCGUCGACCCCCUGGAUUCUACAUCCCGUAUGCUUUCUCCUCAUAUUUUGGGAGAAGAGCACUACAAUACUGCCCGUGGUGUACAGAAGGUUCUGCAGAACUACAAGAAUCUCCAAGAUAUUAUUGCUAUUUUGGGAAUGGACGAGUUGAGUGAAGAUGACAAAUUGACUGUAGCUCGUGCUCGUAAGAUUCAGAGGUUCUUGAGUCAGCCUUUCCAUGUUGCAGAAGUUUUCACUGGUGCCCCUGGGAAGUAUGUAGAAUUGAAGGAGAGCAUUACAAGUUUCCAGGGAGUGUUGGAUGGAAAAUACGAUGACCUUUCUGAGCAAUCUUUCUACAUGGUUGGAGGAAUUGAAGAGGUCAUUGCCAAGGCUGAGAAGAUUGCCAAGGAGUCUGCAGCCUAAGGACACGGUUUCUUGUCCCUCUUUUUCUUCCCGGGGACCUUAAAAAUCAAUAAUUUGGGUGAUGGUGGCUCUUGCCACCAUUUGGGGUUGCACAUUUUUUUUGAGAUCAACUUUAUUUUUGUUUUUCGUUUUGCCGGAUAUGUGGGAGGUGGAUAAACGAGCUAGAGAGGGCCUGCCAUGCUGGCCCAUCCUUGUUUUUCGGUUCAAUAAUGGAUUCUAUUCGCUCCAGGUUGAAUGGAUUUUGUUAGCAGAAGUGUCAUUUUGAUGAACGCAGAAGUGUGUUUUUGGCAUGAAGCCACUGGGUUGACCAUGACAUUGUCAUGUAAAAUGCUGUACUAAUCGAAUCGUGCUUCUACCUAAUAUGAUACAGAAGUACAGAUGUUAGAUUUUUUGGAGCAUCUAA